CGAAGUUAUAUGACUUCGUGAGAGCGCGCAAAUGUUACCUUGGCGCCUCUGGCUCAUAUAAACGCCCUGGAUCUCAAUCCCUUUCGGUUGAAGAUAGCAAACCCAGGUUUCGCUCGUUGACGCAGGAUGCCGAGCCGCCAUACAGCAGUGAUCCUUCUGGUGGCAGGUCUGGCAGCGUCUGUUUCAGCUUUAUACGAUCCUGACUGGAAGCCGCCGCGUCCCCGUAAGUGCAGCCGUCCGGGAGAAGUGUGGAAGACAUGCGUCAUGCAUGGCUGUGCCGAAGACACCUGUGAGAAGAAAGAAAAGCAUUGCAUUUCCACCUGCGAAUUCGGCUGCUACUGCGCCGAUGGCUUCUUCAGGGACCAACGUGGUCGCUGCGUCCGCUCCUGUAACAGCCGAGCUAAUUCUAAUCGAGAGAACUCCCCUUUCGGGUCGAAGUCCGUUGAUCAAUUCCCGCUUAUUCUGGACGUUGACCCCUUCCCUGCAGAAGAAACUUAUUCCAAUAUCGUUCAGCAUCCUGGUCCUCCUUCGCGCUAUCGUCAUCAAAGGCGGCCCCUACGUCGUCCUAAACCAAAACGAGAGAGAGAGUGGGAUCCGGAGGACGUGGACGAAUGAUGUCGAUGACUACGGAGGAGCACCAUCCCUCAUCAGCCGAGAUAAAUAAAGCCUAGCAACACACUGCACAUUUUAUUAAG
rnacentral:lncRNA from 1 species